CGGAUAACGGGGAGGAAGGUGGGAUGACGUCAAGUCCGCAUGCUCCUUACGUCUAGGGCUACACACGUCCUACAAUGGGGUCGACAAUGGGAUGCAAUAUCGCAAGAUGGAGCCAAUCCCCAAACGGCCUCUCAGUUCGGAUUGUAGUCUGCAACUCGACUACAUGAAGUUGGAAUCGCUAGUAAUGGCAGAUCAGCAUGCCGCCGUGAAUACGUUCCCGGGUCCUU
rnacentral:rRNA from 1 species